GGUUCCAUAGUGUAGCAGUUAGCACAUCUGCUUUACACACAGAAGGUCCUGGCCCCAAUGGAGCCA
rnacentral:tRNA from 1 species